UGGUGUGUUGGGGGGGGCAGGGGAGGGCGACGGGCCGUUCGGGAGUCUGCUGGGAGCGCGAGGGGCCACCGCGACCCGUCGUCCCAUCCUGGGCCCACCUCCGCACACCAACGACCUCGCCUGGCGGCUCCCACGGUACCUGUGAUGGAAGCGGCAGCGGCGGCGGCCGCUCUCCCCUCUCCUCACACAGACAAUAUGGCGGCGGCGGAGGAGGAGACACACGACUCGGCCGCCAGCCGCAGGGACCAGAGCGAGGCUGCAGCCGCCGCUGCCGGAAGCGGAAACCCCCUUCCUACCAGGAGGCGGGGCGGGACCGCUUCCGACCCCGCCCUCCGCGGAAGCUGGCUGAGUGCGGCCAUGCUGGGAUGUGCUAAGGUGUCCCUGCAGCACCUGUUAAGAACUGACGUUAGAAAGAAGACUAAAUUCCCGUACGCGUACAGUUGGUUUGCCCCAAGCUAAGAUGGCGGUCCCUAUGGUUCCCGCACUUCACCCAGCUGACGAAUCGCACCAGGGGACCAGCCUGCCGGCUCUUUCUUGAAGCAUGCGCGACCUGCAGAGCUGGAAAGCAAAGCAUUUUGGGAGUUGAAGUCGGCUGCUUGGACCCCUCAUCUAGGGUUAGGGUUCCAGCAGCACAUUUUCUCUGCUCAAACUUCGAGUUCGCGACAAACGAACGAAAGUUGGACCCUCGGAGUGGUGUGACGCAGGAGUGGAGGGAGGGGCGAUCCAAGCCCUGUAGAGACUGAGACCCUAUUCCUGCCUCCUGCAGGAGACCUAUUUAGAACUACCCAUCCAGAAAAAAGUAUUUUCUCCCUUAAGUGCCACCAGUCGUUACCCCCGCCCGCCUGGACAACUUUCCCUAAAGCAGCUACCGAGCACUUUCUAUCUUGCAAACCUGAUCACGGCCUCCUCUUGGAUUAAAAUCUUCCAGGGCUCUCCUUUGUGCACCAAAGAUAGCCCAAGUUCUCUUGA